UACGGAGGGUGCGAGCGUUGUCCGGAAUCACUGGGCGUAAAGGGCGCGUAGGCGGCGCGGGCAGUCAACGGUGAAAGCUUGGGGCUCAACCCCGAGUCGGCCGUCGAUACUCCCGUGCUGGAGCACUGUAGAGGCAGGUGGAAUUCCGGGUGUAGCGGUGGAAUGCGUAGAGAUCCGGAAGAACACCGGUGGCGAAGGCGGCUUCCUGGACCGACACUGACGCUGAGGCGCGAAAGCUAGGGGAGCAAACGGG
rnacentral:rRNA from 1 species